rnacentral:rRNA from 1 species
UUUGUUGUCCGACUCUGUUGCCUCCGGGGCGACCCUGCCUUCGGGCGGGGGCUCCGGGUGGACACUUCAAACUCUUGCGUAACUUUGCAGUCUGAGUAAACUUAAUUAAUAAAUUAAAACUUUUAACAACGGAUCUCUUGGUUCUGGCAUCGAUGAAGAACGCAGCGAAAUGCGAUAAGUAAUGUGAAUUGCAGAAUUCAGUGAAUCAUCGAAUCUUUGAACGCACAUUGCGCCCCCUGGUAUUCCGGGGGGCAUGCCUGUUCGAGCGUCAUUUCACCACUCAAGCCUCGCUUGGUAUUGGGCAACGCGGUCCGCCGCGUGCCUCAAAUCGUCCGGCUGGGUCUUCUGUCCCCUAAGCGUUGUGGAAACUAUUCGCUAAAGGGUGUUCGGGAGGCUACGCCGUAAAACAACCCCAUUUCUAAGGUUGACCUCGGAUCAGGUAGGGAUACCCGCUGAAACUUAAGCAUAUCAAAGCGGGG